GCGUAAGCGCGCGCAGGCGGUUUCUUAAGUCUGAUGUGAAAGCCCACGGCUCAACCGUGGAGGGUCAUUGGAAACUGGGGAACUUGAGUGCCUAAGAGAAAAGCGGAAUUCCACGUGUAGCGGUGAAAUGCGUAGAGAUGUGGAGGAACACCAGUGGCGAAGGCGGCUUUUUGGUCUGUAACUGACGCUGAGGCGCGAAAGCGUGGGGAGCAAACAGGAUUAGAUACCCUGGUAGUCCACGCCGUAAACGAUGAGUGCUAAGUGUUAGAGGGUUUCCGCCCUUUAGUGCUGCAGCUAACGCAUUAAGCACUCCGCCUGGGGAGUACGGUCGCAAGACUGAUACUCAAAGGAAUUGACGGCGGCCCGCACCAG
rnacentral:rRNA from 2 species